UGGGGAAUAUUGCGCAAUGGGGGGAACCCUGACGCAGCCAUGCCGCGUGAAUGAAGAAGGCCUUAGGGUUGUAAAGUUCUUUCGGUAUUGAGGAAGGUUGAUGUGUUAAUAGCACAUCAAAUUGACGUUAAAUACGGAAGAAGCACCGGCUAACUCCGUGCCAGCAGCCGCGGUAAUACGGAGGGUGCGAGCGUUAAUCGGAAUAACUGGGCGUAAAGGGCACGCAGGCGGUUAUUUAAGUGAGGUGUGAAAGCCCCGGGCUUAACCUGGGAAUUGCAUUUCAGACUGGGUAACUAGAGUACUUUAGGGAGGGGUAGAAUUCCACGUGUAGCGGUGAAAUGCGUAGAGAUGUGGAGGAAUACCGAAGGCGAAGGCAGCCCCUUGGGAAUGUACUGACGCUCAUGUGCGAAAGCGUGGGGAGCAAACAGGAUUAGAUACCCUGGUAGUCCACGCUGUAAACGCUGUCGAUUUGGGGGUUGGGGUUUAACUCUGGCGCCCGUAGCUAACGUGAUAAAUCGACCGCCUGGGGAGUACGGCCGCAAGGUUA
rnacentral:rRNA from 1 species